rfam:Salmo salar isolate Sally breed double haploid chromosome ssa25, whole genome shotgun sequence.
AAUGCACCAAUAUGCAAGUCGCUCUGGAUAAGAGUGUCUGCUAAAUGACGUAAA